UCCCCCGUGAGGGGGCAGUCUCGCCAGACACUUGUAACUGGCAACGAGGGUUGCGUUCGUUACCCCACUGAAGGGAACGAUUCAAACCACGAACUGACGACAGCCAUGCAUCACCUGUUCUACACCCUCGAAGGCUUCCUAGCUUUCGCUAGGCGUGCAGUAGAAUUUCUAGCCCUGGUAAGGUUCUUCGCUUAGCGACGAAUUGAGCCACACGCUCCACCGCUUGUGCAAGCUCCCGUCUAUUCCUUUGAGUUUUAGCCUUGCGGCCGUACUACCCAGGCGGUCAACUUAACGCGUUAGCUUCGCCUCCCAGAGGGUCGAUACUCCGGAAAGCCAGUUGACAGAGUUUAGGGCGUGGACUAC
rnacentral:misc_RNA from 1 species